UAGCUUCAUCUAAUUCACAAGGAAAACUAUAAAGAUUCAAGGAAAUUGAAAGCAUAAUCAGGAAAUUGCAAGCUCUUAACUUGUCCAUUGAAAGGGCGUAAAGGAAGAGGGCUCAGGUUCUAAGAAGUCGGAAAGCUCACAAGACAAAGGUAUGUUUCGUGACGUAAAUCCUCAUCUUAGACUAUUUGGCGAGUUGAAGCGAGCACGUGAUCACCACUUAACAUAUCAAGCGCUUCCGCUAGUUGCUUUAAUGUUUUGGGUCAAAUAA
rnacentral:lncRNA from 1 species